rnacentral:rRNA from 1 species
UACGGAGGGUGCAAGCGUUAUCCGGAUUCACUGGGUUUAAAGGGUGCGUAGGCGGGCAGGUAAGUCCGUGGUGAAAUCUCCAAGCUUAACUUGGAAACUGCCGUGGAUACUAUUUGUCUUGAAUAUAGUGGAGGUGAGCGGAAUAUGUCAUGUAGCGGUGAAAUGCUUAGAUAUGACAUAGAACACCCAUUGCGAAGGCAGCUCGCUACACUAUUAUUUACGCUGAGGCACGAAAGCGUGGGGAUCAAACAGG